rnacentral:ncRNA from 1 species
AUCAGAACGCAGCGGUGAAUACGUUCUCGAAUUUUGGACUCACUGCCCGUCAAUUUAAGGGAGCCGGUAAUACCUGAAGACCAAUUUAUUAAGUUGGGACACGGUAGGAUCGGUGACAGGAAAUAAGUCGUAACAAGGCAAGGCUAGCGGAAGCUGGUCUUGGAUCACCUCCUUU